rnacentral:rRNA from 1 species
GACAGAGGGUGCUAGCGUUGUUCGGAAUUACUGGGCGUAAAGGGCGCGUAGGCGGUCUGUUAAGUUCGGUGUGAAAUCCCCUGGCUCAACUGGGGAACUGCGCUGGAAACUGGCAGACUCGAGUACCGGAGAGGAGAGUGGAAUUCCUGGUGUAGCGGUGAAAUGCGUAGAUAUCAGGAGGAACACCGGUGGCGAAGGCGGCUCUCUGGACGGAUACUGACGCUGAGGCGCGAAAGCGUGGGGAGCGAACAGG